rnacentral:rRNA from 1 species
CCUACGGGUGGCUGCAGUAGGGAAUAUUGCAAAAUGGGCGCAAGCCCGAUGCAGCAACGCCGCGUGGACGAUGAAGGCCUUCGGGUCGUAAAGUCCUUUUUGAGGGGAAGAGGAAGGACGGUACCCUCAGAAUAAGCCUCGGCUAACUACGUGCCAGCAGCCGCGGUAAAACGUAGGAGGCGAGCGUUCUCCGGAUUUACUGGGCGUAAAGCGCGUGCAGGCGGAUUGGAGAGUUGGAUGUAAAAGCUCCCGGCGUAACUGGGAGAGGUCGUUCAAUACUUCCAGUCUUGAGUACAGUAGAGGGAAGUGGAAUUCCGGGUGUAGUGGUGAAAUGCGUAGAGAUCCGGAGGAACACCAGUGGCGAAAGCGGCUUCCUGGACUGAAACUGACGCUCAGACGCGAAAGCUAGGGUAGCAAACGGGAUUAGAUACCCUUGUAGUC